rnacentral:rRNA from 1 species
GACGAACCGUGCGAACGUUGUUCGGAAUCACUGGGCUUAAAGGGCGCGUAGGCGGGCUGCCGCGUCCGGGGUGAAAUCCUCCCGCUCAACGGGAGAACGGCCUCGGAUACGGGCGGCCUCGAGGGGGGUAGGGGCAUCUGGAACUGUGGGUGGAGCGGUGAAAUGCGUUGAUAUCCACAGGAACUCCGGUGGCGAAGGCGAGGUGCUGGACCCCAUCUGACGCUGAGGCGCGAAAGCCAGGGGAGCAAACGGG